rnacentral:rRNA from 1 species
UACGGAGGGUGCGAGCGUUGUCCGGAAUCAUUGGGCGUAAAGAGCUCGUAGGCGGUUUGUCGCGUCUGCCGUGAAAGCCCGGGGCUCAACCCCGGGUCGGCCGUGCGAACUGUCGAGCUGGAGCGCUGUAGAGGCAGGUGGAAUUCCGGGUGUAGCGGUGGAAUGCGUAGAGAUCCGGAAGAACACCGGUGGCGAAGGCGGCCUGCUGGGCAGUGGCUGACGCUGAGGCGCGACAGCGUGGGGAGCAAACAGG